UGGCUAAUACAUGCAGUCGAGCGGACAGAUGGGAGCUUGCUCCCUGAUGUUAGCGGCGGACGGGUGAGUAACACGUGGGUAACCUGCCUGUAAGACUGGGAUAACUCCGGGAAACCGGGGCUAAUACCGGAUGGUUGUUUGAACCGCAUGGUUCAAACAUAAAAGGUGGCUUCGGCUACCACUUACAGAUGGACCCGCGGCGCAUUAGCUAGUUGGUGAGGUAACGGCUCACCAAGGCGACGAUGCGUAGCCGACCUGAGAGGGUGAUCGGCCACACUGGGACUGAGACACGGCCCAGACUCCUACGGGAGGCAGCAGUAGGGAAUCUUCCGCAAUGGACGAAAGUCUGACGGAGCAACGCCGCGUGAGUGAUGAAGGUUUUCGGAUCGUAAAGCUCUGUUGUUAGGGAAGAACAAGUACCGUUCGAAUAGGGCGGUACCUUGACGGUACCUAACCAGAAAGCCACGGCUAACUACGUGCCAGCAGCCGCGGUAAUACGUAGGUGGCAAGCGUUGUCCGGAAUUAUUGGGCGUAAAGGGCUCGCAGGCGGUUUCUUAAGUCUGAUGUGAAAGCCCCCGGCUCAACCGGGGAGGGUCAUUGGAAACUGGGGAACUUGAGUGCAGAAGAGGAGAGUGGAAUUCCACGUGUAGCGGUGAAAUGCGUAGAGAUGUGGAGGAACACCAGUGGCGAAGGCGACUCUCUGGUCUGUAACUGACGCUGAGGAGCGAAAGCGUGGGGAGCGAACAGGAUUAGAUACCCUGGUAGUCCACGCCGUAAACGAUGAGUGCUAAGUGUUAGGGGGGUUUCCGCCCCUUAGUGCUGCAGCUAACGCAUUAAGCACUCCGCCUGGGG
rnacentral:rRNA from 1 species